rnacentral:rRNA from 1 species
AUUGAACGCUGGCGGCAGGCCUAACACAUGCAAGUCGAACGGUAACAGGAAGCAGCUUGCUGCUUUGCUGACGAGUGGCGGACGGGUGAGUAAUGUCUGGGAAACUGCCCGAUGGAGGGGGAUAACUACUGGAAACGGUAGCUAAUACCGCAUAACGUCGCAAGACCAAAGAGGGGGACCUUAGGGCCUCUUGCCAUCGGAUGUGCCCAGAUGGGAUUAGCUAGUAGGUGGGGUAACGGCUCACCUAGGCGACGAUCCCUAGCUGGUCUGAGAGGAUGACCAGCCACACUGGAGCUGAGACACGGUCCAGACUCCUACGGGAGGCAGCAGUGGGGAAUAUUGCACAAUGGGCGCAAGCCUGAUGCAGCCAUGCCGCGUGUAUGAAGAAGGCCUUCGGGUUGUAAAGUACUUUCAGCGGGGAGGAAGGGAGUAAAGUUAAUACCUGUGCUCAUUGACGUUACCCGCAGAAGAAGCACCGGCGAACUCCGU